GACGAACGCUGGCGGCGUGCUUAACACAUGCAAGUCGAACGGAAAGGCCCUGCUUUUGUGGGGUGCUCGAGUGGCGAACGGGUGAGUAACACGUGAGUAACCUGCCCUUGACUUUGGGAUAACUUCAGGAAACUGGGGCUAAUACCGGAUAGGAGCUCCUGCUGCAUGGUGGGGGUUGGAAAGUUUCGGCGGUUGGGGAUGGACUCGCGGCUUAUCAGCUUGUUGGUGGGGUAGUGGCUUACCAAGGCUUUGACGGGUAGCCGGCCUGAGAGGGUGACCGGCCACAUUGGGACUGAGAUACGGCCCAGACUCCUACGGGAGGAAGCAGUGGGGAAUAUGGCAAAAUGGGCGGAAGCCUGAUGCAGCAACGCCGGGUGCGGGAUGACGGCCUUCGGGUGGUAAACCGCUUUCGCCUGUGACGAAGCGUGAGUGACGGUAAUGGGUAAAGAAGCACCGGCUAACUACGU
rnacentral:rRNA from 1 species